CCAUACAAAUCUCGGUAUGCGAUCGGUCGUUAAAAUGACCGGUGUUCUUUAUAGUCUUUGAUUUCUCCGUCUUACCUUUUCCUGUCACGGUAUGCGAGGUUGGUGGUUGAAGACCACUCCGCGGGAACGAACGUCUAUGGUAUGGUGUCGAGGUGGGGUCUUAGGUAUUUCGGAGGCGUCGUUGUUACCCUCGAUUCGAAGGCUCGAGUCGUUAAAGUCCUACGACUACGGCAAAGAUCGAGUCCGGAGAGUUUGAUGUGAGGGACAACGCUCAACAAGACCCGACGUAGCGGCGGUGGGCCGCGCCUUAAAGCCGGCUAUAACAUCUACCACCCCCCGUUCUUCGUUCCGUUAAGUAAGGGGAGCGUCGCAUAAACCUGGGUGAUUACCGCGAGGUAGAUCACUAUAACACUUCUUUUCUUUCUAUCACCUCGUGUAAUAAGACGAGUCUCGGUUCGGUUUGUAGAGUCUACGACUUCUUUUCCUGUACGAACUAAUGAAUAUAUGUAGAGUCAUAGUCUACUCUCCCUAUGAGUGACACAGUAAUCCGGCGUAUCUUCCGGGAUUGUCGCUCUCGAAGUGCGUACGACAGAAGUACGCAAAGGUUGUCUUUCUUCUGUAACGUUUCAAGGUCUCAUCGAGGAUGAUAAGGUUUCAAGAGCUGCUCGUGCAGUUUGGGCAAAGGAUACAUGCGGAGUGGUGUAAAACUUAGACUCCACCUUCUACUGUAAUAGGGAGAGAAAGCCUCCCCGCUCCUAAAGUUGAUGCCACAGCUCAAAUACAACAACUAUAGAAAGAACCUCUGACGUAGGUCUCUCAGACACCUCCUACGUAAUCGGGUAGAAGUUUUCGACUAGUAGGUGAUGUCAAGAAAGUAACAAGUCCGUUGCAGUCCAACGACAGACCUAGUAUACCUACCAGACAUGUCAGUGCGACGUCAAUAGGCAAAAGGUAGUUAGCUGCUGAAGUUUAAUAAGUUCCUCUCGUGCCUUAUGUUCCUACAUUCUGAAGACGUAAAAGUGGCUAUCCUUAAACUCUCAGCCAUUUAAGACAAUAAUUACCCAAACCUUCUACUUUGUUGUUAUUCUCUAAUUGUAUUAAUUUAUUCACGAGACUUUUGAACAAAGCGAAAACACAUUGAAGUCGAGUUGUUGAAUCUUGUAAGUCUUGGAUCUUGGAAAACCCCUGGAUUUUUUCUUCUUGAUUCAUUGACAACGUCAGAUUUUUUACUAGCCUUUUAUAGUAAACCACGUAACGGUUUGAUCUUCGAGUUCGAUCCGAGUGUCUUACUACUAUAAUCAACGGAUUUUAGUCCUCUGUGUCUCAAGUUGUUGAGACUUUCAGGGAUGGGUACUGUCGUUCUUAUUACGUCUCGUUCGUGGUACGAGCUAAAACAGUGUUUACGGACUACUUCAAGGUAAAAAUUAUCAAAGAAACACGGACAGAACACUCUACGUCUACACCUGUAGGUUUAAAGUAGGCCAAUGGCUCUCUACAGAGCUCGACGUAAAACAGCAGCUGGGUCAGCCGUUGGUCGACUACAUCUAAGACUCGGGAACACGAGACUUUGACUUGGACUUUACCUUGGAACAGUGUAGGCUUUCUCUCAAGAACACAAUCACACGACACAUAUAGUAAAGUAAAAAGAAGCCGAACCCACUAGAAGACGGGUACAGGUCUAACCCGAGGUGCUCCGUCACUGACUGCUCGCUACAACAUUCCAGAUAGAAGAACAAGUCGUGCCUACUUACUCAUGUUACAAUAUUCUUUUUACCUACACAUAUCAGCCUAUAGGUCAACCCGAGAUCCCUCGUAACCGAGGACGUGCGGUUUUUUGUAAAAACGUU
rnacentral:rRNA from 1 species